rnacentral:rRNA from 1 species
GACGAACGCUGGCGGCGUGCCUAAUACAUGCAAGUAGAACGCUGAAGGAGGAGCUUGCUCUUCUGGAUGAGUUGCGAACGGGUGAGUAACGCGUAGGUAACCUGCCUGGUAGCGGGGGAUAACUAUUGGAAACGAUAGCUAAUACCGCAUAAGAGUAGAUGUUGCAUGACAUUUACUUAAAAGGUGCAAUUGCAUCACUACCAGAUGGACCUGCGUUGUAUUAGCUAGUUGGUGGGGUAACGGCUUACCAAGGCGACGAUACAUAGCCGACCUGAGAGGGUGAUCGGCCACACUGGGACUGAGACACGGCCCAGACUCCCACGGGAGGCAGCAGUAGGGAAUCUUCGGCAAUGGACGGAAGUCUGACCGAGCAACGCCGCGUGAGUGAAGAAGGUUUUCGGAUCGUAAAGCUCUGUUGUAAGAGAAGAACGAGUGUGAGAGUGGAAAGUUCACACUGUGACGGUAUCUUACCAGAAAGGGACGGCUAACUACGUG